rnacentral:rRNA from 1 species
AUGAUUCACCAAAUGAAACCUCUUUCUGAUGAAGACUCACAGAUACUCUUCCAUAGAAGAAUAUUUCAAAGCGAGGAGAAAUGUCCAGAAGAUUUGCAAGCAGUAUCAAGAGAGAUACUGAAGAAAUGUGGUGGAGUACCAUUAGCCAUCAUUACAAUAGCUAGCCUUCUAGUCAGUAACCAAAGGAUAAAGCAGAAAGAAGAAUGGAUGCAUGUGCACAGUUCGAUGGGCCGUGGAGUUACAGAAGGUGGUAUUGUGAAGGACAUGAAGAGGAUAUUAUCACUCAGCUAUUAUGAUUUGCCAUCCCAUCUAAAGCCUUGUUUAUUAUAUCUAAGCAUCUUUCCUGAAGACUUUGAGAUUAACAGAGAUUUGCUGAUAUGGAGGUGGCUUGCUGAAGGGUUUAUCCAAUGUGACAAAGAUGAAACCAGGCUGUUUGAGAUCGGAAAGAGCUACUUCAACGAGCUUAUGAACAGGAGCUUGAUCCAGCCAGCGGAAACCAAUUAUGAAGGAACAGUAGUAACUUGCCGUAUACAUGAUAUGGUGCUUGACCUUAUAUGCUCGCUGUCAAGUGAGGAGAAUUUUAUCUCCAUAUUGGAUAAUGCUCAGUGGCAUGCACCUAAUCUGCAAAGGAAACUUCGCAGGCUAUCACUUCAUAAUAUCAAGGCAAAGUGUCGGAACCAUCAGUUUGAUAGCACUAGGCUGUCAAAAGUGAGGACCUUUGCUGUUUUUUCUCCUGUUACCUGUGAUUGGUUGCCAUCUCUCUCAAGCUUUCAAUUUUUGCGUGUGCUAGAUCUUGGAAAUUGUGGCAGCCAUGAAAGUAGCUCUGGCAUCAGCCUCAAGUAUGUAGGGAAUUUAAUUCACCUAAGGUACCUAGGGCUCAAGGAUGCAGAUGUUCGCGAACUCCCUGUGGACAUAGGCAAGUUGCAGCUCUUGCAGACACUGGAUAUAGGAGGCACUAUUAUAGAAGAAUUACCUUCAAGUGUUGUUCAGCUCAGAAAUUUGAUAUGCCUACGUGUCAAUUAUAGGGUGAGGCUGCCAAAAGGAAUGGGGAGCUUGAUGUCCCUUGAAGUGCUGGAACAAGUAGGAUUAUCCUCAUCUCCUCACAUUGCGGAAGAGCUGAGCCAUCUGACAGAGGUUAGGACACUCAGUAUUGACUGUGCUAACAUGGACGAGGAUCUGAUUGAUAUAUUAAUCAAGUCUCUAGGCAACCUGCACAAAUUGCAAAAUCUGCGUAUUGAUGAUGGUGGCAGAUUGAUAAAUCGCAUGCGUGAAAGCUGGGUGCCCCCUCCAAACCUCCGUAGUUUUGAUUCAUGGAGCAUCUCUUCUUCUUCGUCGUUCCUGAGACUUCCAAAGUGGGUUAAUUCAAGGUCGCUUCCCCACCUCUCCCGCCUGGAAAUAGAUGUGGAAGAACUGCAAGGGGAUGACAUUCAGAUCAUUGGGAUGCUGCCUGCUCUUCGGUUUCUGCGGCUGCGUGCAAGUCGCGUGAUGGGAAGGUUGGUUGUGAGGGCCGAUGCAUUCCCAUCUGCGAGAUGCUGCAUAUUCUGGGAGUUUCUGACGCCGCCGUGCCUUUUUCCACCUGGAGCCAUGCCAGGGGUUCGGCAUCUUGAGUUCCAGGUAUCUGCGCGGUCGAUCGCGAGUGGCGAGGUUGACUGCGGCCUGGGGCACCUCCCUUCUCUCGAGCAUCUUCAGGUUUCUCUGUGGCGUGAGAAUUCCAGCGAUGAAGAGAUGGAGACAGCCGAGGCUUGGCUGAGGCGGGCAGCAGAAGCCCAUCCAAAACGUCCCACCAUGAAAAUGACAUGCCUCUGCCGCCGGGCUUGA